CAAUGCUACCACUUACAGAUGAAUCCGCGUCCCAUUAGCCAGUUGGUGGGGUAAUGGCCUACCAAAGCGACGAUGGUUAGCGGGUCUGAGAGGAUGAUCCGCCACACUGGAACUGGAACACGGACCAGACUCCUACGGGAGGCAGCAGUGAGGAAUAUUGCGCAAUGGGGGCAACCCUGACGCAGCGACGCCGCGUGGAUGAUGAAGGCCCUUGGGUCGUAAAAUCCUGUCAGAUGGAAAGAAAUGCCACAGGGCUAAUAUCUUUGUGGUUUGACGGUACCAUCAAAGGAAGCACCGGCUAACUCCGUGCCAGCAGCCGCGGUAAUACGGAGGGUGCAAGCGUUGUUCGGAAUUAUUGGGCGUAAAGGGCGCGUAGGCGGUUUGAUAAGUCUGAGGUGAAAGUUCGGGGCUCAACCUGGGAAGUGCAUUAGAAACUGUCAGACUAGAGUGCAGGAGAGGGCAAUGGAAUUCCAUGUGUAGCGGUAAAAUGCGUAGAUAUAUGGAGGAACACCAGUGGCGAAGGCGGUUGCCUGGCCUGUAACUGACGCUGAGGCUCGAAAGCGUGGGGAGCAAAUAGGAUUAGAUACCCUAGUAGUCCACGCUGUAAACGAUGAUUACUAAGUGUUGGAGCAAUUCAGUGCUGCAGUUAACGCAAUAAGUAAUCCGCCUGGGGAGUAUGCACGCAAGUGUGAAACUCAAAGGAAUUGACGGGGGCCCGCACAAGCGGUGGAGUAUGUGGUUUAAUUCGAAGCAACGCGAAGAACCUUACCAAGUCUUGACAUACCGUGCAAAACCCUGGAGACAGGGGAAUAGUUAUGGCGGAUACAGGUGGUGCAUGGUUGUCGUCAGCUCGUGUCGUGAGAUGUUGGGUUAAGUCCCGCAACGAGCGCAACCCUUGCCUUUAGUUACCAGCAUUCAGUUGGGGACUCUAGAGGGACUGCCGGUGACAAACCGGAGGAAGGUGGGGAUGACGUCAAAUCAUCAUGCCCCUUAUGACUUGGGCUACACACGUACUACAAUGGCGUAUACAGAGAGACGCGAAGUGGCGACAUGGAGCAAAUCUCACAAAGUACGUCUCAGUUCAGAUUGAAGUCUGCAACUCGACUUCAUGAAGGCGGAAUCGCUAGUAAUCGCGGAUCAGCAUGCCGCGGUGAAUACGUUCUCGGGCCUUGUACACACCGCCCGUCAAACCAUGAGAGUUAGUUGUACCAGAAGCAGUUGAGCUAACCGCAAGGGGGCAGG
rnacentral:rRNA from 1 species